rnacentral:rRNA from 1 species
GAUGAACGCCGGCGGCGUGCCUAAUACAUGCAAGUCGAGCGAACAGACGAGGAGCUUGCUCCUCUGACGUUAGCGGCGGACGGGUGAGUAACACGUGGAUAACCUACCUAUAAGACUGGGAUAACCUCGGGAAACCGGAGCUAAUACCGGAUAACAUGCUGAACCGCAUGGUUCAACAGUGAAAGACGGUCUUGCUGUCACUUAUAGAUGGAUCCGCGCCGCAUUAGCUAGUUGGUAAGGUAACGGCUUACCAAGGCAACGAUGCGUAGCCGACCUGAGAGGGUGAUCAGCCACUCUGGAACUGGGACACGGUCCAGACUCCUACGGGAGGCAGCAGUGGGGAAUCUUCCGCAAUGGGCGAAAGCCUGACGGGGCAACGCCGCGUGAGUGAGGAAGGUCUUCGGAUCGUAAAACUCUGUUAUUAGGGAAGAACAAAUGUGUAAGUAACUAUGCACGUCUUGACGGUACCUAAUCAGAAAGCCACGGCUAACUACGUG